AUGGAGGGAUCCGCCGUCCCGGCGCCGCUCCGCACGCGCGUGUGCAUCAUCGGCAGCGGCCCGGCCGCGCACACGGCGGCCAUAUACGCGGCCCGCGCGGAGCUCAAGCCCGUGCUCUUCGAGGGCUGGAUGGCCAACGACAUCGCCGCGGGGGGCCAGCUCACCACCACCACCGACGUCGAGAACUUCCCGGGCUUCCCCACCGGCAUCAUGGGCAUCGACCUCAUGGACAACUGCCGCGCCCAGUCCGCCCGCUUCGGCACCAACAUCCUCUCCGAGACCGUCACCGAGGUCGACUUCUCCGCCCGCCCCUUCCGCGUCACCUCCGACUCCACCACCGUCCUCGCCGACACCGUCGUCGUCGCCACGGGCGCCGUCGCGCGCCGCCUCCACUUCCCCGGGUCCGACACCUACUGGAACCGCGGCAUCUCUGCCUGCGCCGUCUGCGACGGUGCCGCGCCCAUCUUCCGGAACAAGCCCAUCGCCGUCAUCGGUGGCGGAGAUUCCGCCAUGGAGGAGGGCAACUUCCUCACCAAGUACGGAUCCCAGGUGUACAUCAUCCAUCGGCGCAACACCUUCCGCGCCUCCAAGAUUAUGCAGGCCAGGGCGCUUUCCAAUCCUAAGAUCCAGGUUGUCUGGGACUCCGAGGUCGUCGAGGCCUACGGCGGCGCAGGCGGUGGCCCAUUAGCGGGGGUCAAGGUCAAGAACUUGGUGACUGGUCAGGUCUCUGACCUUCAGGUCUCCGGGCUCUUCUUUGCCAUCGGGCAUGAGCCGGCCACCAAGUUUCUCAAUGGGCAGCUUGAGCUCCAUGCCGAUGGCUAUGUGGCCACCAAGCCGGGCUCUACACAUACCAGUGUGGAGGGGGUGUUUGCUGCUGGGGAUGUGCAGGAUAAGAAGUAUCGUCAGGCGAUUACUGCCGCUGGUUCAGGGUGCAUGGCUGCUUUGGACGCAGAGCACUAUCUGCAGGAGGUGGGUGCACAGGAGGGCAAGUCUGAUUGA
rnacentral:rRNA from 1 species